rnacentral:rRNA from 1 species
UACGGAGGGUGCAAGCGUUUUUCGGAAUCACUGGGCGUAAAGCGCGUGUAGGCGGCCUUUUAAGUUCGAUGUGAAAGCCCGGGGCUCACCCCCGGAAGUGCAUUGGAUACUGGAAGGCUGGAGUACCGGAGAGGAGGGUGGAAUUCCUGGUGUAGCGGUGAAAUGCGUAGAUAUCAGGAGGAACACCUGUGGCGAAGGCGGCCCUCUGGACGGAUACUGACGCUGGGACGCGAAAGCGUGGGGAGCAAACAGG